GUAAGGCAACGGGUUUUGGUCCCGUUAUUUGGAGGUUCGAAUCCUUCCGUCCCAGA
rnacentral:tRNA from 1 species